GCCUGGGUGGCUCAGUCGGUUAAGUGUCUGACUUCAGCCCAGGUCAUGAUCUCACGGUUUGUGGGUUCGAGCCCUGCAUCAGGCU
rnacentral:tRNA from 1 species